ACUCCUACGGGAGGCAGCAGUGAGGAAUAUUGGUCAAUGGACGCAAGUCUGAACCAGCCAUGUCGCGUGCAGGAAGACUGCCCUAUGGGUUGUAAACUGCUUUUAUACGGGAAGAAAUAUAGCUACGUGUAGUUAUUUGCCGGUACCGUAUGAAUAAGCAUCGGCUAACUCCGUGCCAGCAGCCGCGGUAAUACGGAGGAUGCGAGCGUUAUCCGGAUUCAUUGGGUUUAAAGGGUGCGUAGGCGGAAGUAUAAGUCAGGGGUGAAAGUUUGUGGCUCAACCAUAAAAUUGCCUUUGAUACUGUAUUUCUUGAGUACAUUUGAGGUAGGCGGAAUGUGUUGUGUAGCGGUGAAAUGCUUAGAUAUAACACAGAACACCGAUUGCGAAGGCAGCUUACUAAACUGUAACUGACGCUGAUGCACGAAAGCGUGGGGAUCGAACAGGAUUAGAUACCCUGGUAGCACAGAG
rnacentral:rRNA from 1 species